GAUGAACGCUGGCGGCGUGCCUAAUACAUGCAAGUCGAGCGAACGGACGAGAAGCUUGCUUCUCUGAUGUUAGCGGCGGACGGGUGAGUAACACGUGGAUAACCUACCUAUAAGACUGGGAUAACUUCGGGAAACCGGAGCUAAUACCGGAUAAUAUUUUGAACCGCAUGGUUCAAAAGUGAAAGACGGUCUUGCUGUCACUUAUAGAUGGAUCCGCGCUGCAUUAGCUAGUUGGUAAGGUAACGGCUUACCAAGGCAACGAUGCAUAGCCGACCUGAGAGGGUGAUCGGCCACCCUGGAACUGAGACACGGUCCAGACUCCUACGGGAGGCAGCAGUAGGGAAUCUUCCGCAAUGGGCGAAAGCCUGACGGAGCAACGCCGCGUGAGUGAUGACGGUCUUCGGAUCGUAAAACUCUGUUAUUAGGGAAGAACAUAUGUGUAAGUAACUGUGCACAUCUUGACGGUACCUAAUCAGAAAGCCACGGCUAACUACGUG
rnacentral:rRNA from 1 species